rnacentral:lncRNA from 10 species
UUAUGACAUUGCUGCAUUUAUUACUCCGUACUGCCAAUGAAUACAUGAAUGUAGGAUUACAUUCAAUUAUUUGUAGGAUAAAUGCAGGCCCUCCGAUCCACACAGCAGAGUUGACUAUACUCAACAUUUUGUGGCAACGUGGUGUCAGUUUUCCCUGUAAGGGAGUGUGUUUUGAAAGCGACACUUUCCUUUUAUUAGAUUCACAAUGCCUUUGUAACGCCCAACCUCUCCUUUGUAGAAUUUUUCUUUGUUAGAAAACAGACAAACUCUGUCCUUAGGAACCGUCUUCUACUUGGUACAGCACUGGCCUCAGGCCGCCUGCAUCUGCGUGGACCAGUAAGAAUGAAGUCCAGCAGCAUAGAGAAAAGCAUCAUAAAGGCUGGGAGGUCAUCCCCCAGGGCCUCCCCUACUUCACAUACACAGAGACGUGUGCAUAUGUCACACACACACACAUAUUAUAUAUAGAUAUGUAUUUUUUUUUUUUUUUACAAAAAUAACAGGGUUUGCACAGCUCUAUUAAUUUUUUAAAAUUACACAGGCAAGGUUUAUGCUUCAGUAUAAC